rnacentral:rRNA from 1 species
ACCAAAAAUUUAGCCCAUAUUAUCUUAUGAAAAACAUAAACCUUAUCAUUUUAAUUAAAACAUUUUAUAAAUUUAGUAAAGGAGAUUAAAAAAUUAAUUGGAGCAACAAAAAUAGUACCGCAAGGGAAAAAUGAAAUAAAAAUGAAAUAAAUUUUAAGUACAAAAAAGUAGAGAAUUAACCUCGUACCUUUUGCAUCAUGGUUUAACUAGUUAAACUAAGCAAAAUGAUUUACAGUUUUUCUUCCCGAAACUAAGUGAGCUACUUCUGGGCAGCUAAAUGAGCAAACCCGUCUCUGUUGUAAAAGAGUGGAAAGACCCACAAGUAGAGGUGAUAGACCUAACGAACCUAGUGAUAGCUGGUUACUCAAAAAAAGAAUUUUAGUUCAACCUAAAGUUUUAUUAUAACUUUAAAUAUAACCUUGACUUUAGAGCAAUUCAAAUAAGGUACAGCCUAUUUGAAACAGGGUACAACCUAUUCUAUUGGGUAAACUAAUGUUACAUUUAACAAAGUGGGCCUAAAAGCAGCCACCUCUUAAAUAGCGUCAUAGCUUAAUUUUAUAAACACAAAAUUCCUUAAAUAAAAAUGAACCCAUUAACUUUAUUGAGUAAUUCUAUAUUAUUAUAGAUAUAUAUUAUGUUAAAACUAGUAACAAGAAGAAGACCUUCUCUUUAAUGUAAGUGUAAAUCAGAUAGGACAAACCACUGAUAAUUAACAUUUAUGAUAAAAUUUAAUAACUUAACAAGAAAAUCUUAAUAUAAUUAUAUGUUAACCUAACACAAGAACACUACAAGAAAGAUUAAAAGAAAAAGAAGGAACUCGGCAAAUCUAAACCUCGCCUGUUUACCAAAAACAUCGCCUCUUGAUUAAAUAUAAGAGGUCCAGCCUGCCCAGUGACUCUGUUCAACGGCCGCGGUAUCCUAACCGUGCGAAGGUAGCGUAAUCACUUGUUCUUUAAAUGAGGACUAGUAUGAACGGCAUCACGAAGGUUUUACUGUCUCCUUUUUUUAAUCAGUGAAACUAAUCUCCUCGUGAAGAAACGAGGAUAAAUUUAUAAGACGAGAAGACCCUAUGGAGCUUUAAACUAUAUAUUAAUCGCUUAUUUUUUACUAAAUUUCAGAAUUUUACUUUUUAUUCUAGCCUUAUAGUAUCAAGUUUUAGGUUGGGGUGACCGCGGAGUAAAAAAUAACCUCCACAUUGAAAGGAUAUUUUCCUGAACAAAAAAUUACAAUUUUAUGCACCAAUAAAUUGACAUUAAUUGACCCAAUAUUUUGAUCAACGAACCAAGUUACCCUAGGGAUAACAGCGCAAUCUACUUCAAGAGCUCCUAUCGACAAGUAGGUUUACGACCUCGAUGUUGGAUCAGGGUAUCCUAGUGGUGCAGCCGCUACUAAAGGUUCGUUUGUUCAACGAUUAAAACCCU